rnacentral:rRNA from 1 species
UACGAAGGGGGCUAGCGUUGCUCGGGAUUACUGGGCGUAAAGCGCACGUAGGCGGCUUUCUAAGUCGGGGGUGAAAUCCUGGAGCUCAACUCCAGAACUGCCUUCGAUACUGGAAAGCUCGAGUCCGGGAGAGGUGAGUGGAACUGCGAGUGUAGAGGUGAAAUUCGUAGAUAUUCGCAAGAACACCAGUGGCGAAGGCGGCUCACUGGCCCGGUACUGACGCUGAGGUGCGAAAGCGUGGGGAGCAAACAGG